GCCUGGCUUUGAUUCCCAGCACUCAAGUGGGCGCUCACAGUCAGUCUCAGGGGAUCUCCCAUCUGCCCUUCUCAAACACCAGGUACUCAUGUGGUGCAUAGAUACAAUGCAAGCAAAUCAUCCAUACACAUAAAAUCCCUAAAAAAUUUAAAAAAAAUAUCUUGUUCGGAUUUGAAGGCCGCUGUGAAACCAGCAACCGCUGAGUAUCUCCAAUCCUUUCUACUUGAAAAAGAAUCUCCCUCACUGUUCUUUCUCCCAAUCUCCUCCUUACGUGUUGGGGUUUGGGGCAGAUAACCUGUCUCUUUAGUUCUCAGGUCUUUGGAUGAAGAGCAUGUGACUAGGAGCUGACCGAAGGGGACUCUUGUUUUUGGACAUGAGUCAUGCGAGCAGUGAAGGUCAAGCCGGUGACCUGAUUGGAUGAGACUUUGGGGGUCUUGGGAGGGGGUGAGUCUAACUUGCAUGUGGGAGGUGUGUCAAUUAUUGUGGCCCCAGGUGGACUGUAGUACAUUGUUUGCAGAGAUGGCCACAAUAACUCCUCCCAUUCCUGUAUGUACACCCCUUGCAAUGUGACUUUACCUUUCUUCCCAUGAAGGGGUGGCAUAUCUUUCCUCACUUUUUGAAUCAUUGCCAUUUUUGUGGUUUGCUUAGACCACUGUUAGUUGGCCAAAGCGACGUAUGUAUACUGGAGCCUAGACUUCAAGAGGACAUGCAGCUUUUGCCCUCACCCUCUAAGGACAUUGUAUUGAAGAAGCUUGAACUGUACUGUGUACCAUACUGAAAAAGCCCAUUGGAGGACGAGAGACCACAUUCAACAGAAAUGAGCACCUUCCAUUGAGGCUGUCUACAUUUACCAAACAACAAUCAGUACUAUUCACCAGACUUGGGAAAGAGAGCACCUGAGCCACCAGGCCAUAUACCCAUGUUUGGAAGAAGCAGAACUGUGCAGUUGAGCAUCAGGAACAAGUGGAAGGUUAACAUUUUCAGCGGGCCACAGAGUUUUGAAGUAGCUUAUGUAGAAAGCAAACUGAAGUAGAAAAACUGGAGUAUACGGACAUGAAGUAUGGUGAUGGUCUCUAGCAUUGUGCACUUUAAGACUCACAGAUGAGGAAAAGAAUGAAACAACAAUAGUUGAAGAAAUAAUGCAGCAGAAGGCUGCAUCUGAAGAGACAAUGUCCAAGUUUUUUUCAAACUAAUAAAAGCUGCCAAGCACAAAUAAAAUCCUGUUGAGCCUCAAGCAUGGUGAAUACCAGAAACCACAUCUAAGCUAUAAAUAAAUCUGCUGCCUGUCUCCCCCAACAUAUCACACACACACACACACACACACACACACACAC
rnacentral:lncRNA from 1 species